rnacentral:rRNA from 1 species
AUGGAAGAGGGGAGUUGUGUUCAGCCCGGCCAUCCAGACGGAAUCAUCAAAAAAGGUGUGUCUUCGGCUGGACGACCCACUCCAAGCAGUUUCCCAUUCAGCAGUAGAUACUGUCAACAACUCAUCUCUGUCUGCGAAGCAAGACACUCGCCGAGAGGUUGCCAAUUUACGAUUUAUUCAUUCUUUGAUGACCUGACUGCUAGCAUAGUCACGUACUAUGCCGAGCAACGACCGAGCUCUGGAUAUGUUACAUUCGGAACUACAAACGACACCGUGCCAGCCAAAAUUCGGAUAACAAAGCGCAACAUCGCCCGCGACCCAUGGGCAAUCGGUUCAGUUCCGAUGCCGCCGGCAGUCCCAGUCCUUAGAGCCAUAAAAGAUUGUUUGGCUGUGUCAUCCACGUUCGUCCUUGAAAGGAAAUGGAUUAUGCAUCCAAAACCAAGACUCAUACUGCUCGACGGCAUUGAAAUCCAACAACAACUAUCAGGAAAAGAACAGCUUAGUCAUGAGAUGUGUGCUGCUAUUUUUAGGAGGCUUUCACAGAUGGACAAGACCUAUUCGAAGGACACUUUGACUAUGUUUUGGAGGAAGUUUCUUGAGCCUGAUUUUGCCACCGCAGUUUUAUCCAAUGCCGAUCCAUUGACCAUCCAGUCGAUCCGUGCAACAUUCACAGAAGAAAACGAAAAUUUCAGCCCAGCCUCUAGUCGGAUGUGGCAUAUACCUGCACUCCUACCGGACGGAUGGGCCGUCUACGCAUUCGACAUGGCCAGGCGAAGGAUUUUAGUACUAGACCCGGCCAUCGGCCCAUUUGGUUUAGCAAUAGAAGGAUCAACAUGCACACAUAUGUGUCUGACCUGCUUCACGCUGCACUCUUCAGAUGCAUCCAAUCUUUAUAUGAUUCCUGGCACUGCAGUUCCGGAGAAUGGACCCGUGCAUUUCCUGUGA